ACAUACGACCAUAGCUCUCAGAGAACUCGGGAUCCCGUCUGCUCUCCUGUAGAUAAGCUGACAAGCGGCCGAUUAGUAGUUGGGUCGGUGACGACCAGCGAAUACCGGCUGUUGUAUGU
rnacentral:rRNA from 1 species